rnacentral:misc_RNA from 1 species
AGCUCUUCAAAAAGGCUUUCCCUGGUUGUUUAACAGUAAGAAUUCUUCAAUGUUUUGAAAUCAUAUAUUCAAGCAAUCACUACAAUAUGUCCCUAGAAAGUAAACUCAUCCCGUGCUUAAACAUUUUGCAUUUUGUGAGCAAACAUAGAUGGCCUUAACUUUGGCACUUUGCAAGGUUCCUAUUCCUCAGGCUGCACACAUUUGUCACCCAAGAGACAUGCAUUUCUUUUUUAUUAACUUCGAAAGAAUCAUAAUUUGAGGGCAACAUAGGGAUGCUCAUGCCAAUAACUACUCAAAACAUAAUAAAAACACAAAAGGGAGGAUGUCACAUGCACUAAUCAAUGUAAAUACACAUCAAAAGGUCAUUAUCAAUAGAGGCUUCUUAUUAAAAUUUAUUGCAAAAAACUUUUAAUCCCAUAUGAAUUCAAUAAAUUUGACAAUAAUUACACUGAUAUCCGUGCCUUCGUCCAGAAAAAGUUAAACUAUCUUGAAAAAUAUCAUACGCGCACCUGUAAAGUUUUUGUAUGAAUGUAUAAUGAAGUUCCCUCUUUGCAUGAUU